ACGACACGACCGCACCGCAAACCGACACUGGUGCGCGAGAUGAGUAUUCUAAGGCGCUUGAGAGAACUCAGGAGAAGGAACUCGGCAAAUUGACACCGUAACUUCGGAAGAAGGUGUGCCUUUAGUAGGUGAACCUGUACAAGGGGAGCCCAAUGAGGUUGCAAAAAAUCGGUGGCUGCGACUGUUUAAUAAAAACACAGCACUCUGCAAACACGAAAGUGGACGUAUAGGGUGUGACGCCUGCCCGGUGCUGGAAGAUUAAAUGAUGGGGUGCAAGCUCUUGAUUGAAGUCCCAGUAAACGGCGGCCGUAACUAUAACGGUCCUAAGGUAGCGAAAUUCCUUGUCGGGUAAGUUCCGACCUGCACGAAUGGCGUAACGAUGGCCACACUGUCUCCUCCUGAGACUCAGCGAAGUUGAAAUGUUUGUGAUGAUGCAAUCUCCCCGCGGAAAGACGGAAAGACCCCAUGAACCUUUACUGUAGCUUUGUAUUGGACUUUGAACAGAUCUGUGUAGGAUAGGUGGGAGGCUUUGAAGUGUGGUCGCUAGAUCGCAUGGAGCCAACGUUGAAAUACCACCCUGGUGUGUUUGAGGUUCUAACCUAGGCCCGUAAUCCGGGUCGGGGACAGUGCAUGGUAGGCAGUUUGACUGGGGCGGUCUCCUCCCAAAGCGUAACGGAGGAGUUCGAAGGUACGCUAGGUACGGUCGGACAUCGUGCUAAUAGUGCAAUGGCAUAAGCGUGCUUAACUGCGAGACUGACAAGUCGAGCAGAUGCGAAAGCAGGACAUAGUGAUCCGGUGGUUCUGUAUGGAAGGGCCAUCGCUCAACGGAUAAAAGGUACUCUGGGGAUAACAGGCUGAUACCGCCCAAGAGUUCAUAUCGACGGCGGUGUUUGGCACCUCGAUGUCGGCUCAUCUCAUCCUGGGGCUGUAGCCGGUCCCAAGGGUAUGGCUGUUCGCCAUUUAAAGAGGUACGUGAGCUGGGUUUAAAACGUCGUGAGACAGUUUGGUCCCUAUCUUCCGUGGGCGCUGCAGAUUUGAGGAAGCCUGCUCCUAGUACGAGAGGACCGGAGUGGACACACCUCUGGUGUAUCGGUUGUCACGCCAGUGGCAUUGCCGAGUAGCUAUGUGUGGAAGAGAUAACCGCUGAAAGCAUCUAAGCGGGAAACUCGUUUCAAGAUGAGAUCUGCCGGGGCCUUGAGCCCCCUAAAGAGUCGUUCAAGACCAGGACGUUGAUAGGUCGGGUGUGGAAGCGCAGUAAUGCGUUAAGCUAACCGAUACUAAUUGCUCGUGCGGCUUGACC
rnacentral:rRNA from 1 species